GACGAACGCUGGCGGCGUGCCUAAUACAUGCAAGUCGAGCGAUGAUUAAAGAUAGCUUGCUAUUUUUAUGAAGAGCGGCGAACGGGUGAGUAACGCGUGGGAAAUCUGCCGAGUAGCGGGGGACAACGUUUGGAAACGAACGCUAAUACCGCAUAACAAUGAGAAUCGCAUGAUUCUUAUUUAAAAGAAGCAAUUGCUUCACUACUUGAUGAUCCCGCGUUGUAUUAGCUAGUUGGUAGUGUAAAGGACUACCAAGGCGAUGAUACAUAGCCGACCUGAGAGGGUGAUCGGCCACACUGGGACUGAGACACGGCCCAGACUCCUACGGGAGGCAGCAGUAGGGAAUCUUCGGCAAUGGGGGCAACCCUGACCGAGCAACGCCGCGUGAGUGAAGAAGGUUUUCGGAUCGUAAAACUCUGUUGUUAGAGAAGAACGUUAAGUAGAGUGGAAAAUUACUUAAGUGACGGUAUCUAACCAGAAAGGGACGGCUAACUACGUGCCAGCAGCCGCAGUAACAC
rnacentral:rRNA from 1 species